rnacentral:tRNA from 1 species
GGGGUUGUAGUUAAAAAUAACAUUUAAUUUGCAAUUAAAAAGUGCUUUACUUGAGCCAUCCUCA